rnacentral:lncRNA from 1 species
UUUACAUUAAUACUAGUUUUACCAUUGCCAAUACCUUCUCUAGAAGUUAAUUUACUGUGUGUGUGCUCCAUGUGCAUUUGGAAGUGACUUUUCCUACUGAGCCAUCUUGCUGAACUUUCCAGUAAAAAAAUUAAUUUUCAGUCUAUAGUUCAAUUUCCAGUUAUUCCUUAAAAUAAGAUCUCACAUUCUAUUCAUAUUUUUCUUUUGCAUUUCACUUAUCUCUUAUACUUGAGAAUAGUUCUUUCUCAUAAGAUACUGAAAUGUCCUUUUCAAUAAGAUACUGAAAUUGCUUGAAAGAACAGAUUAUUUUGAAGAAUGGCUUGUUUUCUAGAGUUAUCUAAUUGUUUCUUGGUGUGGUUGUAUAAUUUGUUCUUUUCUGGUUUCUAUUUUUGAAUUUAAGGCUAUCUUUUUAAGGCUUGUUUAAUGUGUUAAUUUUUUUAGCAAAGUCUUUUAUGGGUAAUGGAAUAUAUCAUUGAUGAUAUGUGUAUAUCAUCUAGGCUGUAGACCACAUGUAUGAGGAUAGCAAUAACUUCUGUCCAACCGAAAAUUGUAAACUUAAUACAUUUUGAAACUCUUUUUCUUUUGGUGACUCGACUGAAAUGUUUUCAAGCAUGAACUUUGUAGUUGACAGCAUGACAUUGCAGUGUUAAGAGGUUGGACAAGCUGGAAUGGAGGUACAUGAUGUUACGUGUUCCCCUAUUAGAGAUCCAAGUUUGACAGGGUUUAAGGUGGUAUUUGUUAUGACUUUGUAUUUUAAAAGUGCCUUUUUUUACUCCUAUAAUUAAAUAUGCUAACUUAUGGGAAUUCAGCUUUGACAUUGUUCUUUAGUGCUUUAAUAAUGUCUAUUCUUUGUAGGUUCAAAAUAAAGAACUCUAAUAUUAAAGUUCAAAUUUCUUUUUUCUUUUGUCAGUGUAUUUUAGUAAGGAUAUAUUUAUUGUUUGGAAUACAUAGUACUAUUUAUUUUCUUGGUGUGAUUGGUGCCAGUUUGAUAUGUAUUAGUGUCUAGUUUUUAUUUUAGGAAUAAUUUCUCUUUAUUGAUUUAAUUCUAUUGUUUAAAUAUGCAAAAUAGUUGCAAAGUAUAAAAGGAGAAAUCAUAUGCUAAGAUAAAUUUGGGGAUCUCAUUGAUGUGUGUGGUAUUUUUUUCUUUCAAAUCCUCCAUUUAUACACCCAAAUUAGCAUACUGUAUGUGUUGCUCCCCCCCCCCAUUUCUUAUUGGCACAUAAAGAUUAUCUUUUUCCUUCUUUUCUUCACUUUUCUUUUCUUCACACAGGGUUUCUCUGUAUAGCCCUUGCUGUCCUGGAGCUCAUUCUGUAGAUUAGGUUGGUCUUGAACUCAGAGAGAUCCACCAGUCUCUGCCUCUACAUGUAAAGUACAUGAAUUCUUUUCUUCUUUUUUUCUUUAAUUUUAAUGCCCCCCCCCUUCUGUCCUAAAUCUUUCAGAUUAUAGAGUUGAAGCAGUCAGUACAUGCCUACUUAGGGUACAGUAAGCCUUCUCAGAUGCACACUAUAUGAGUGAGAGAUCAGAAACAUACUGUAAAGGGAGAGGGAAGGGAAACUUAGAAUGCAAGUGAUUCAAACCCUAAUGUUAUAGACUAGGUGUUGGAUAUUAGGGAACUGAACCCUUCAGACUCUAUUUGUCUUUUACUCUAGCGUCAGCAUUUGUGGAGAAUGUGAAAAAUUAUAAAUUAUGUUAGUUUAAAAAAAUGUGGCUAAGUUGGUUGGAAAUGGUACACAGCUUUAAUCCCAGCCCCCUCACUGAUCUCUUAAGUUCUAGGACAACCUGUUGUACAGAGUGAGUUCUAGAACAGUCAGGGCUAUACGGAGAAACCCUGGGUCAAAACCAAAACAACAACAACAAAAAACCAAAAACUUAAAUAAAUAAAAUGAUGAUGUGCGCUUGUAAUUCCAACACUGGAGAGUUGCAGUCAUGCAAACUCUUGUGGUGGUCUGGCCAUGCAGAAUACCUUACUGGCCUAAUUGGCAAGCCUAAGACCAGUAAGAAAUCUAUUUUUAAAAGUUUUUCUUUUAAAUUUUUAAAAAAAGAUUUAUUUAGUUAUUUAUUAUAUGUGAGUACACAGUAGCUGUCUUCAGACACUCCAGAAGAGGGCAUCAGAUCUCAUUACGGAUGGUUGUAAGCUAUCAUGUGGUUGCUGGGAUUUAAACUCAGGACCUUUGGAAGAAUAGUCAGUGCUCUUAACCGCUGAGCCAUCUCUCCAGCCCCAUAUAUUUUAUUUAUUAUUUUAUUUUAUUUUAUUUUAUUUUAUUUUAUUUUAUUUUUUGAGACAGGGUCUCACUAUGUAGCUCUGGCUGUCCUGGAGAUCAAUCUGGCCACAAAUUCAUAGAGAUCCACCUGCCUUUGCCUUCUGAGUGCUAAGAUUAAAGAUGUAUGAGAAUAGCUCAGCUGUAAAAUAUAUUUUACGUAUUUUUUUUCCCUUCCGAAACACCCUCACAUCCUUCCCAACUCUCUAGCAUCCAGUGUCAUGUUCUUUCUCUCAAAACAAACAGGCAAACAAAAACCCAGAACAAGAAACAUAUCCCAGAAAUGGAAAUCAAAAGAAACAGAUUAAACCAACAAUACAAAACUCCAAAACAACCCCCAACC